rnacentral:rRNA from 1 species
CUACGGGAUGCUCCAGUGGGGAAUAUUGCACAAUGGGCGCAAGCCUGAUGCAGCCAUGCCGCGUGUAUGAAGAAGGCCUUCGGGUUGUAAAGUACUUUCAGCGGGGAGGAAGGGAGUAAAGUUAAUACCUUUGCUCAUUGACGUUACCCGCAGAAGAAGCACCGGCUAACUCCGUGCCAGCAGCCGCGGUAAUAUGGAGGGUGCAAGCGUUAAUCGGAAUUACUGGGCGUAAAGCGCACGCAGGCGGUUUGUUAAGUCAGAUGUGAAAUCCCCGGGCUCAACCUGGGAACUGCAUCUGAUACUGGCAAGCUUGAGUCUCGUAGAGGGGGGUAGAAUUCCAGGUGUAGCGGUGAAAUGCGUAGAGAUCUGGAGGAAUACCGGUGGCGAAGGCGGCUCCCUGGACGAAGACUGACGCUCAGGUGCGAAAGCGUGGGGAGCAAACAGGAUUAGAUACCCCCGUAGUC